rnacentral:tRNA from 1 species
UUAGAUAAAUCUAAAUUUAGAAUUUAAUUUCGACUUAAAUGUAUGAUUAUAUUUUUAUUAAUCUAUCUAAU